rnacentral:lncRNA from 1 species
ACUGCUCUUAUUGGCUUUGCCUUAGUGGCUUCGUCUAGCCAGCCGUGAACCUCAGCCCGAUAAAAGAGUUAAAAGGGCAUCUUCUUUCACGGUUAGAACUGCUAGACACAUGGGCUCAAUAAAAGUAUGUAUUAUAUUAUGACAGACCCCUUGCUUGAGUAAAGGUUUUUAACCUUCCAUACAGUCAUUAAACUAUAUAUAAAAUUCAAGUAUAUUUCAAUUCUUAUCCUUACUGAUUGUGCGGAUUAUCGCCAGUCUUUAAAUAUAAGGGUACUGAAUUAGCUAGAUUAAGAAUUCUUAAGUAUGUUAAAAUAGAAAUCUUUAACCAGACAUAUAAAUGUCAGAUGUGAGUUGUGAAACAAGUCCAGUUUCCGGUCAAACGGUGAUUUCUGUUUUAGCUUAGUUGNNNNNNNNNNNNNNNNNNNNNNNNNCCUUUGAUAAAGUGUUAUACUACAAUAAUGAUAGACACAAACAUACUUGGUUUAUAAAGGUAUGUGCAAAGAUAUUUGCAGCAACUGUUCCUAAUUGGUUUCUGAACUGGUGGUCAUACCACGGUCCAACAAUAAAAAUUUUACCAGAUCCAUUUCUCAAGUUAUACAAAGAAUGGAUAAAAACUUCCCCUUUUAUAAACAGUUUAUAUCACUCAGAUCAUAUAUGUUACCCUGAUAAAAUCAACCAGAUUUAUUUCUUUCUGGAAUUCUCUAUUCCCUGGAUACACAAAUGGAAUCCAGAAGUCGGAUUCACCGAAGAACAAGUCCCAUGCUUAUACAUGACUUUUUACAACAACUUUUGGGACAAGUUAAUGAAGAAGGAUCCCAAAACAAAGACAUUAUAUGGUCAAGAACUCUUGGAUUCAAUAGAAAUAAAAAUCCAGGAAUAUUUCAGCAAACCUCAAAAAGAGGUAAUUGAUGACAGUUCAGUUAGGCAUAUUGCCAGAAGAAUCUCCUUUCAAGAAGGAGAUAAAGCAGAAAUGAUUAACGCUUACUUGGAAGAGGUCAAAAGAAAUUUACUUCAUUCCAUUAAUCAAUACGAAAAAUCAGAUACGUCAAUGCAAAGUGAAACAAGCAACGAUGAUAUCGCUGAAGAUUCUCAGCCCAUUGAAGCAGAAAAAAUAUUAUCUGAAGAAGACUUAAAUGAUGCAGAAGAAUUCAUCCGCAAAAUGAAAGAAGCGGAAAAGAGACGAGCACAGUGAAACAGCUGGACCCCACAAAAACAGUGAAGCCGCCGGACCCACAGCAACAGUGAAGCCGUCGGACCCCACUCAAACAGUAGAUACACUGUUCAUCAACAGUAGAUACACUGUUCAUCAACAGUAGAUACACUGUUUCAACAGUAGAAACACUGUAACAGGGACCCACGGGACCCACUUUUUACUGUUCAUAGAUUCCUUUUCUUUUUCUAUUUAUAGAAUUCAUUCGUUCAUUCUUCAGAGGAAGAAGUCGAGACCCUCUCUCUCUAGAAUUCUCUCUCUCUCUCUAAGUUGUAAGUAAGAGUUAGUUUGUAGUUUGCUCAUUGUAACAGAAGAACAAGUAAAUAAAAGUUUUCAGUUCUUUAUCUUCAGGGCCUUGCAUCUUGGCCACAAGGUACAUAUUUCCUUCUUAAUUAGUUUUUCUUUUUCUUCUAGUCUCUCCUCUCUGGCCGUGACGAUGUCCGGCUAAGAGACAUCAUAUCUAUGUUGAGUAUCUAACUUCUCUCCUAUAUACUCCAUGAAAGCGACGGCAUCUAUUAAAAUAUAAAUGAAUUUUAUAUAUAGAGUUUUGACUUGGUGUCAAGAUGGUUGGUACAGUCUGAUAUAACACUGCUCUUAUUGGCUUUGCCUUAGUGGCUUCGUCUAGCCAGCCGUGAACCUCAGCCCGAUAAAGGAGUUAAAAGGGCAUCUUCUUUCACGGUUAGAACUGCUAGACACAUGGACUCAAUAAAAGUAUGUAUUAUAUUAUGACAGACCCCUUGCUUGAGUAAAGGUUUUUUAACCUUCCAUACAGUCAUUAAACUAUAUAUAAAAUUCAAGUAUAUUUCAAUUCUUAUCCUUAAUGAUUGUGCGGAUUACCGCCAGUCUUUAAAUAUAAGGGUACUGAAUUAGCUAGAUUAAGAAUU